UCGUUUUUGGAUUCUCUCUCUCUCUCUCUCUCUAAACGGUUUUCUCUCGCUCUCUCACGCUCUCUCUCGAGGGGGGGAGGGGAGAAAAACGGACUGUCUUCAUCUCUUGCUCGGCUGAGAGCUCACGAGGAAAAAGGGGAAUCGAGGAGAGGAAAAUCGAUCAAUCGCCAUCGCUCCCUUCCCCUGCCUCGCGUGCGAUUCGAGUCGAUCGGAACCAUCGUCGGCAGCGACGACAACGACGACAACGACAGCGGUGCUAAUAGAGGGCUCGGAGAGAUCUGGCUCUCGAUCGGGUUGGGCUCUCCGAUCGGUGGCUCGACGUCUAGGGUUUUCGGGGGAUUUCGAUCGAUCGAAAGCGGCGGUGACGACGACCAGUGGUGACAGCCACUCCCGAUAUGUACCUCUCUCUGUUCUAGUUCGGCGGAUUGUUCUCGCUCGCUCAAUCAAAGACGGAAUGGCCGGACGAGGAGCUCGACAGGGAUUCGGUUUCCGAGAAUCAACAGCAACGGCUUCCGAUCUUUUCUUCGUUCUGUUUCUCAGGUAACUCUCCUGCAGCUGCGAGGCUCAUAUCCGUGUAGUCAGUAGCAGCGGCGACAGAGUUGACGGAGGAGUAUAGGUGUAAGGUUCAGUUUUACAUUGGAUGAAGAGCUGAAGAGAGCUGCUGCAUCCAAUCAUGUCAAAGAUGCACUCGUAGCUAAAAUUAGCAAAGAGCGCAUUAGAACAGAAGCUCUUCUUGGCUUAUAUGGACGCUGCAUGGAGCCUUCUGCAGCUACUUGGGUCGUUGUCUCUUACUGUCGUCAGUGUACACUUUGUCGUGGCGAGACUCCUUAGCUUAAUUCCCUUUCUUGAAUCAAAUGUUGAUGGAGAGCUCAAUGAAGAUGUAUGGGCAGUGAACUUGUUGAUAUCCGUGCUUCGUCAAAGCUGUGGGUAUUAACAGGUAAGAAUAGGGCAGUUUUUCUCUGGUUACUCUGAAUUUUUUUUCAUCUGCUAUCUUUUCACUCAAUGAAAAAAUAUUUGAGUAAUGAACUAAGCCAUCAGGAUUGUAGAGCUGAAAUUUCUAUAAGUGAAAGCACAAGAGA